AGAAAAUGAAAGGAGAUAGAGGAAAUGGUUAAAUGUCACCAUAAGAAUGCAAUCAGCAAAAUCCUGAAUAGGAAAUUUCUGAAGGACAAAAAUCUCUAUUUCUUCACCAAAAAGGGGGUGAUAAAGAAGUGGAGAGGGAAGAUCUGUAAAUUAUAAUAGAUUUAAGAGAGUUGUCCAUCAAGUGUAACAUUAGCUCUUUGAGGAUGGUGCCAUAUAGGCCAUAUGACAUGAUAUAUGACAAUCACAUGACAACCUGACAUCACUAUUAAGUGAUGAUAUCACUAUUAACCUCACAUGCCCACACCCUUGAUUCCACCUGCCCCCUCAAACCUUGUCCCUCCCCAGGCUUGCCCAUGUUUCCCAUCUUCACAAAUGGCCCCACCACCAUCUGGUUGCUCAGGGCUAUGCCAACACUGCCUUUGCAAAUCGUAGAAGGUUUACAGAAAGACAUUGCCCAGGAGUCAGAAAACCUGAGAGUCCCAGUUUUCUCCCUUUUACUGGUUGUUGCUCUUGGGCAAUGCACAUGCGCUCUUUGUGCCUGAGCUUCUCACCUACAAUCUGGGAGUUUGGGAGUGGGCUUUUGAGCACUCUUCCCUGCUCUCAAGACUUUAGGCUCCCAAGUGGCCCCUUGCAUAUGGCAGAGCUACACAGGGACAGAGAUCGCUGCAGGAGGGAAGCCAAAUGUCAGGGGAAGGAGACUGGGAUUCAGGACUCAUCUCAUCUCUCAGGAGAAAGGGCCUGAGGAUUGGCCUGUUGUCAUCUAUCUGGAAUCAUACCCAAGUGGAAGCACAGACAUCCCUGGCCACCAUACAGCAAGGAAGGGGCCAACCCAGGAAAGGGGUGAAAGGUGAUGUCAGCCAUCUGAAGUUUCCCAGGGAUGGUGAGAAGUCACAAGACAAAGCCCUUUGAGACAUAGUCACCAGUCUAUGUUCCCACUGGGCUGUGCCCUGGGAGAGGCACAAGAACCCGCCCCAACGCCUGAGAGAGGGAUACUGGAGGCCUAAGACCAACUCCCUGAAGUCUUGACUUCUAGUGAAUCUACAUUGGCUGACUUCCCCGGAUUUAUGAGGAUGCUUCUGGAAUCUUCUGCAAAGCUUCCAGCUUCCUGGCAGAACUCCAUUACUAGAGGGAUGUUGGAAAGCAGCACCCUGCAAGAUGUGCAUGUGAAUAUACAGAAGCACACCUGAAGGAGCUAACACCAAACUGAAAACCAAGGUCACCUCUGGGGAGGUGAGGAGGAGACCAGAAAUGGAGGUCAGCUGGGGGUUCUGAUCCAUGCCAUCGUCAUUCAGGGAUCUAGACCUCAUCAUCUGAAAUGUCAUUGGUCACCAUGGCAGAGAGAAGGAUCACAAUCAAGAUGACAGAAGUAAAAGCUCUUUCCAUCCCACUCUCUCUUUGACCUGACAGGGAUCAGCGUCUUGAGACUCCACUUCUGAAAAGCUGUAUGUAAUGAUGAGUCAUUAAAGGCUCUUGAAACAUCUGUGGAAAGUGGGUUUAGGAAGAUGAGCCUGACAUUAGUGAAUGCUGGGUGGUUGGGGAAUCCGACAGGUGGGUGGCGAGGCAGGGACAGGGAGUCCAGGUAGAAAGUUGCACUUCAGAGGUGAUGCAGGGAAUGG